rnacentral:rRNA from 1 species
UACUUAGUACGGCGAGUGAGCGGAAAGCUCAAAUUUGAAUCUGGUACUUUCAGUGCCCGAGUUGUAAUUUGUAGAAUUUGUCUUUGAUUAGGUCCUUGUCUAUGUUCCUUGGAACAGGACGUCAUAGAGGGUGAGAAUCCCGUUUGGCGAGGAUACCUUUUCUCUGUAAGACUUUUUCGAAGAGUCGAGUUGUUUGGGAAU